AUAGUGUCACGGUUUGAUCCAGCUCGAUGGCGAGCUCCUCUGCCCUCCCUAAGCCCGGUGAUGAUUUGUACGGUCAGUCUUCCCUGCACGGUGGUGGGCGAAGGAGGUGUACGUCUCUGCAAGUUUGUUGUGCCUCCCUCAGGUUCCGUGAUGGCCGACGGCGAGGUGCCCACCGGUUGAUGGUGGAGCUGCGAUCCAAAGUUGGAGCGUGCCCUUUCGUUGGUGCCGUCAUUCUCUCCUCCACGACCGUCGUUGUUACGAGCCUAAGUAGCUUGGUUGGGUAUCGACGGCGUUGGUGGACCUAAUAGGUUCAUGUGAAGUGGUGCCUAUGAAGAUCAUCGACAAGGCAGUUGAGUGGAGUCACUUAUUAGUAUGAAGUGGCGCUUAUGAAGUUGAUCGACAAGGCAGUUGAGUGAAGCCACUUAUUAGUAUGCUUAGUAGUUAUGGCUUUGUAGUUGUCUCUCCUUUGUCACGCUUGUGGUAUCGAACUUCCAUGUCGAGUGGCUGCAUUUUUGGUGUCGAACUUCGUGUCAGGUGGCUAUCUUUUGUGGUCUUAUGAACGCACUGAAACCAAUUCUACCUUAUAAU